rnacentral:rRNA from 1 species
GACGAACGCUGGCGGCGUGCCUAAUACAUGCAAGUCGAACGGUGAAGCGCCAGCUUUCUUGGUUGGAGUGGAUGAGUGGCGAACGGGUGAGUAACACGAAAGUAACCUGCCGCGUUCUACUGGAAAACCGCACGAAAGCGUGGAUAACACGGGAUAAUAUGGGUCUUUCGCUUGAUGGAUCUGGGAAAGUUAUAGCAUUACUGGAGGAUGGGCCGGGGGCUUAUCAGCUUGUUGGUGUGGUGAUGGCCUACCAAAGCGGUGACGGGUAGCCGGCCUGGGAGGGUGGACGGACUGGGAGGGACAGAGGGACGGGCCACCCUCGGACGGCAGGCGGCAGGGGGGAUUAGUGCACGAUGGGAGUAAGCCUGAUGCAGCGACGCCGCGUGAGGGAUGGUGUCCUUCGGUUUAGGAACCUCUUUCGCGAAGGAAGCGUGCGUGCGUCGAUUGUGCGUAGGUUGACGGUAGCUUAAUAGAAAGCGACGGCUAACUACGUG